CAAAAAAUGAAAUUUUUUUUGCAGGAACAUGGAUGGAGCUGGAGGCUAUUAUCCUUAGCAAACUAACACAGGAACAGAAAACCAAAUAUCAUAUGUUUUCACUUAUAAGUGGGAGCCAAGUGAUAAGAACUUAUGAACACAAAGAAGGAAACAACAUACACCAGGGUCGACUUGAGGGUGGAGGUUGGGAGGAGGGAGAGGGGCAGAAAAGAUAACUAUUGGGAACUGUGCUUAAUACCUGAGUGAUGAAAUAAUCUGUACGACACCCCCCGACACAAGUUUACCUGUGUAAAAAACCUUCACAUGUAUCCCUGAACCUAAAAUAAAAGUUAAAAAAAAAAGGAAGGACCAGUAAAUAUUUCUGGCUUCAGGAGCAAUGUGUCUCUGUUGCAACAACUUAAUUCUGCCUUUGCAGUGCAGAGUGGACAUAGGCAGUGCAUACAGAACAUGGCUGUGUCUCAAUAAAACAUUUGC
rnacentral:lncRNA from 1 species